GUGAUUCUUUGUUCUAUAACUUUUUUUUUCCAGAAAAACAAAAUGGACAAGUAGGAUUGAAAACUCGAUUUUUUGUGUAGGUUACUCAGUUAAAGGAGUAUAGCAGAUGUUGACUAUGGUAUACUCCUCUUAAAUUCCUUCAUUAAGGAGGGCGGGAGAAAGACUUUUGUUUGGUGGAAAGAUGUUUGUGUAAUUAAAAUAUGGGAUGGUGGGGUUAGUAAUUGGUUUGAUGAAAAUUUGGUAAGAGUGUUGGGUAAUUAGAUUACUUCGAGAUUUUUGUGUGAUUCUUGUAGGGGGAUUGUUAUAUAUGACAUUUAGAAGGAUAGUUGGGUGUUUCAGUUGAAGGAAUGAGCAGAUUGGGUUGAGGUGUGGGUGAUGAUUGGUAUAAAUGAAUUAGAAGACUUCUUGUGUGGGAGGAAGAAAAAAUGGAGGGAUGUGAUUCUUUAUUGUAUAACAUUUUUUUCCGGAAAAACAAAGUGGACAAGUAGGAUUGGAAGCUCGAUUUUUGUGAAGGUUACUCAGUUAAAGGAGUAUACCAGAUAUUGACUCUGGUGGAGAACGUUGACAAUUGAGAAAUGUUUUAGAGAUUGUUUAUCUCUUUUUGCUUUGAGGAUUUUGAAUAAUAUGAUCUCUUCUAAGUAUAACCUUCUUCGUCCCAGAACUUUUUAUGUAGAUUCAACUUUUAUGUAUGAG
rnacentral:lncRNA from 1 species